GAUGAACGCUGGCGGCGUGCUUAACACAUGCAAGUCGAGCGAAGCACUUAAGUUUGAUUCUUCGGAUGAAGACUUUUGUGACUGAGCGGCGGACGGGUGAGUAACGCGUGGGUAACCUGCCUCAUACAGGGGGAUAACAGUUAGAAAUGACUGCUAAUACCGCAUAAGACCACGGUACCGCAUGGUACAGUGGUAAAAACUCCGGUGGUAUGAGAUGGACCCGCGUCUGAUUAGGUAGUUGGUGGGGUAACGGCCUACCAAGCCGACGAUCAGUAGCCGACCUGAGAGGGUGACCGGCCACAUUGGGACUGAGACACGGCCCAGACUCCUACGGGAGGCAGCAGUGGGGAAUAUUGCACAAUGGAGGAAACUCUGAUGCAGCGACGCCGCGUGAAGGAUGAAGUAUUUCGGUAUGUAAACUUCUAUCAGCAGGGAAGAAAAUGACGGUACCUGACUAAGAAGCCCCGGC
rnacentral:rRNA from 1 species